GUAUCCUAAUGUAGAGUACUCUCUCACAAGGAGAAAUGUCAACAACGAUGACAUUCUAAUUUUUAUGAAGAAUCUUUGUAGGAAACAGUCCAUUUGAAGGAAAGUAACUUAGGUAUGACGUAUAUAAACACUUUAAAUAUUGAAAACAGUCCUUGUAUUAAGUUAAAUUACUCUAGUUCAGCAGUUACUUGUAUGCUAAAUGUUUAUUUGUCACAUAAUUUCAUGACGUUCGUUUUGUAAGGGAGAAUUCCAUUACAAUAUAUAGAGGAUAUUUGUUUGUUUUGAGUGAACAUGGAA
rnacentral:lncRNA from 1 species